ensembl:lncRNA
GCCCCUAAAACGAAACGUUGGCCUCAAUUAUUCUGUUUUGACGCCGGCAAAUUAAAUUCAAGCGAACGUUAUUAAAUAAUAAGAGGCUAUCUUGAGAAUAUCUCUCAUCGUCGUCCAACUGUUGAGAAUAAAAAUGUGUUAAGACCUUUCAUUCCCGAUGUUUAUUUCGGACCCCAGCAGAGCUGGGACAGAGUGGACGUAGAGAGAUCAGAGCCGGAGGAGAUCCUCCUCCGAGCGUUCCACGGGGGCCUGAGAGGGGCCGGUUUGGAUCCUGAGGUGGAAUGUAACCUUCACCCUAACCCACGACCCCUCCUACGACAGAACACUGGGUUCUUCCACAGCGGAACACAGGAAGUUCCUCACACUAUCUACUUCCUGUUGGCGUGGCACCCGGUGACGAGAGCCAGGAGCAAAUGGAGGAGGAGGAGGAUGUACUGGGUCCCCCAUCAGAAGAGCAAGAGCUGUUCGGCGAUGUUGGGUGCCUCUGGAAGCGGACAGACAUGUAACCAGUGGUGCUGCUGACGGACAGCCGUGUGACCCCACUAACGACCGGUGCUUAUGAAUAUUAACGAGCUUCAUUAGGGGUGUUUUGUGUACGUUUGAGGAGGCGUCCCAGAUGAAGGUUAAUUUAUGCGCAGACCCGAUCCGCUGUUUCCUCUCCGUCUGCCCGGCGCCGCUGACCUCUGACCUCUGGAGGGAUGGGGGGGGGGUGGUGCCUCUCGAUGUAAACGUAGAACAUAGGUAGAAGGAGGAGCUGCUCUCUGAUUGGUCCUUCGAACCCGUUUCAGUAGAACCUCGGUCAGGUUUAAUAUUUCAAGGCCAUAAGUGUUCGCAUCAAAGUUAAAAGUGAAGCGAAUGUGGUCGAACUUUCUUUCUUUCUCUGCGAGGUUCUGCGACAAACUUAUUUAGAAAUAAUUGUUUAGAAAAAUAUUCUAGAAUGUUGUGUGUAGGCUGUCUGUCUGUUAGUCUGUCUGAUAGUCUGUCCCUGUCUCUAAAGUCAAAGUCAAAGUGUGUUUAUUGUUGCAUGUACCAAAUUGCUUCAGCACAGCAAAAUUCUUAUGACUUGGCAAGCAUCAUUCAUCUACGCAGUAGACGUCAGUCUGUGUUUGUUUGUCUGUCUGUGUCUCUGUCUCUGAGUGUCUGAAUGUUAGGAAUGUGUCAAGGAGAAUAAAUGAGUAGUUAUACCAUUUUUAAUCUCCUCGUAGGAGGAGGAGGGGGAGGAGGAGGGGGAGGAGAUGUGAUCUUGUGGUGGAAGAUAAUGAGUAAAUGACAGGUUUGGUUUUAAAGUUUUCAAAACAGUAAUCACUCCAGCUGUCUGGUCUAGGUGUGUGUGUGUGUGUGUGUGUGUGUGUGCGCGCGCACAUUUCCUUGGCCAUGCCAAUCUACAUUAUGGAACAAACGGACACAUUUCAUGUAAGUUAGUAACUGAUGGUGACAUUGAAACAAAGUAAGGUAGAAGAUAUAAAUGGAACGAAAAGAGUAAACGUUGAAGUGAACUCCAACUCAUCUCCAGAGGACCCGUAAUGGUUCUGUACCCGCCACCGCUAGGGCUCCGAUCACAGCUGCUUGAACAACACGAGGAGGGCGGGGCUACAGCUGGGGAGCAACUCGCUCGGCCAAUAGGCGCGUCACUCCAGACAGCUGUCCUGUAUAUAAGCACCUGUCCGUCAGACCGGCCCGCCUCGAGCCCGGAGAGGAGACGGGGUAGUAAUCAUAUAACGGCAGAAUAGAUCAAACUUUUGCAAUAUUAACUUUAUUCGAUCACAACCUUAUUUUAUCCAGGGCUUCGUUUUAUUUUAUCACAUUUUGUUCGCUAUCUUAUUUGAUU